CGGCCGCCUGGGACUCGGAUCCGGCCGCCUCGGGCGCGACCGGCCCGGUGCGGAGCGGCAUGAUCCGGCCGCCUCGGACGCGGCGGGCC
rnacentral:tRNA from 1 species